rnacentral:misc_RNA from 1 species
CUUCCACCUGACUGCUUGCU